UUUCACACUCCAUCCCUCCUCUCUUUCUCUCUACCCUACCACCACCAUUAACACCACUCACCACCACUGCACCACCACCAUCCCCACCGCACCUCCACCACUAUCACCACGUUCCGUUGACCGUCAACCACCAGUCACUGCCUGCAAACCCUACCUCCACCAUUAUCACUGCCUUCCCCACCGGCCAACAUCCCUCUCUCUCUCUACACUCACCGGAAAAUCUCACCGAUCACAUCUUCAUUCUCUCCUAUUUCACACACCGGUUCAAUCUAUGCGAUUGAAUGAGUGAAGUUAAGAUUUGUUACAUCAGUGUGGUGGAUUUAGGUUUUUGAAGCGAGUUUGUUCACUUUGUGAGAUUGAUUGACUGAUUUUGACUUUUGGUGAGGAUAUUGAGAUGGUUGAUUUUGGUGAGGAUAUUGAGAUGUCGAAUUCAAAAGUGGUGUAUGAAGGAUGGAUGCAGAGAUAUGGGAGGAGGAAGAUUGGAAGAUCGUUUAUACAUAUGAGAUAUUUUGUUCUUGAGUCAAGGUUGCUUGCUUGUUACAAGAGGAAGCCUCAAGAUAAUGUGGUAACUGUUAGUUAUUAUGUAUUUUUUCAUUUAUUUUGGAUAGCAGCAACAUUGAAUGAGGAUUAACAGUAUGAAGUUAAAUACUAAUAUUAAUGAAAGUGGUUUUGGGUGAUAUUCAUGAAUUGAUGGUCACUUGAUGCCUUUUUGGUGUUAA